rnacentral:lncRNA from 1 species
GUGCUUUCUCUCAGAGGAAAUCUCUGUUAUUAGCCAUUAUAGGGCUUCUUUAUCUUGUUUGGGAUCUUUGGACCUAACUCCCUCAUCUAUUUCUCCGAUUAUUGAUAUGGCUGAAUCAGAUGCCUUCGCAGCUAAUGUUAUGAUCAACUCGGAUGAUUCUGAUGUUGAAGGCAUACCAUAUUUGGAUGUUCAAAGUCCUUUG